rnacentral:rRNA from 1 species
GACGAACGCUGGCGGCGUGCUUAAUACAUGCAAGUCGAACGGAAAGGCCCUGCUUUUGUGGGGUGCUCGAGUGGCGAACGGGUGAGUAACACGUGAGUAGCCUGCCCUUGACUUUGGGAUAACUUCAGGAAACUGGGGCUAAUACCGGAUAGGAGCUCCUGCUGCAUGGUGGGGGUUGGAAAGUUUCGGCGGUUGGGGAUGGACUCGCGGCUUAUCAGCUUGUUGGUGGGGUAGUGGCUUACCAAGGCUUUGACGGGUAGCCGGCCUGAGAGGGUGACCGGCCACAUUGGGACUGAGAUACGGCCCAGACUCCUACGGGAGGCAGCAGUGGGGAAUAUUGCACAAUGGGCGGAAGCCUGAUGCAGCAACGCCGCGUGCGGGAUGACGGCCUUCGGGUUGUAAACCGCUUUCGCCUGUGACGAAGCGUGAGUGACGGUAAUGGGUAAAGAAGCACCGGCUAACUACGUGC